rnacentral:rRNA from 1 species
CCUACGGGUGGCAGCAGUGGGGAAUAUUGCACAAUGGGGGAAACCCUGAUGCAGCGACGCCGCGUGAGUGAUGAAGUAAUUCGGUAUGUAAAGCUCUAUCAGUAGGGAAGAAAAUGACGGUACCUGAGUAAGAAGCCCCGGCUAACUACGUGCCAGCAGCCGCGGUAAUACGUAGGGGGCAAGCGUUAGCCGGAUUUACUGGGUGUAAAGGGAGCGUAGGCGGCAGUGCAAGUCUGGAGUGAAAGGCUAGGGCUCAACCCCAGGACUGCAUUGGAAACUGUAAGUCUGGAGUGCGGGAGAGGUAUGGGGAAUGCGUGGUGUAGCGGUGAAAUGCGUAGAUAUCAGGAGGAACACCGAUGGCGAAGGCGGCUUACUGG